AUUGAACGCUGGCGGCAUGCUUUACACAUGCAAGUCGGACGGCAGCACAGAGAAGCUUGCUUCUUGGGUGGCGAGUGGCGAACGGGUGAGUAACAUAUCGGAACGUACCGAGCAGUGGGGGAUAACUAAUCGAAAGAUUAGCUAAUACCGCAUAUUUUCUGAGGAAGAAAGCAGGGGACCAUUUGGCCUUGCGCUGUUUGAGCGGCCGAUAUCUGAUUAGCUAGUUGGUGGGGUAAAGGCCUACCAAGGCGACGAUCAGUAGCGGGUCUGAGAGGAUGAUCCGCCACACUGGGACUGAGACACGGCCCAGACUCCUACGGGAGGCAGCAGUGGGGAAUUUUGGACAAUGGGCGCAAGCCUGAUCCAGCCAUGCCGCGUGUCUGAAGAAGGCCUUCGGGUUGUAAAGGACUUUUGUCAGGGAAGAAAAGGGCGGGGUUAAUACCCCUGUCUGAUGACGGUACCUGAAGAAUAAGCACCGGCUAACUACGUGCCAGCAGCCGCGGUAAUACGUAGGGUGCGAGCGUUAAUCGGAAUUACUGGGCGUAAAGCGGGCGCAGACGGUUACUUAAGCAGGAUGUGAAAUCCCCGGGCUCAACCUGGGAACUGCGUUCUGAACUGGGUGACUAGAGUGUGUCAGAAGGAGGUAGAAUUCCACGUGUAGCAGUGAAAUGCGUAGAGAUGUGGAGGAAUACCGAUGGCGAAGGCAGCCUCCUGGGAUAACACUGACGUUCAUGCCCGAAAGCGUGGGUAGCAAACAGG
rnacentral:rRNA from 1 species